rnacentral:rRNA from 1 species
CGCCUCCUGCAUAAUAACUCAACGUAUAGGAGGUCCUGCCUGCCCAGUGACAACUAGUUAAACGGCCGCGGUAUUUUGACCGUGCUAAGGUAGCGCAAUCACUUGUCUUUUAAAUGAGGACCUGUAUGAAUGGCGGAACGAGGGCUUAACUGUCUCCUUUUCCUAGUCAAUGAAAUUGAUCUGCCCGUGCAGAAGCGGGUAUACUAAUACAAGACGAGAAGACCCUUUGGAGCUUAAGAUAAAAGGCCAACUAUGUCAAUAGGCCCAAAUAAAACUAAGCCAAACAAAACAGCCAACUGGCCAAUAUCUUCGGUUGGGGCGACCGCGGGGGAAAACAAAGCCCCCACGUGGAACGGGGAAUAUACCCUAAAACCAAGAGAGACAUCUCUAAGUCACAGAACAUCUGACCAAAAGAUCCGGCCAACCAAGCCGAUCAACGGACCAAGUUACCCUAGGGAUAACAGCGCAAUCCCCUCCAAGAGUCCAUAUCGACAAGGGGGUUUACGACCUCGAUGUUGGAUCAGGACAUCCUAAUGGUGCAGCCGCUAUUAAGGGUUCGUUUGUUCAACGAUUAAAGUCCU